AUUUUGGGCAAUGGGCGAAAGCCUGACCCAGCAACGCCGCGUGAAGGAUGAAGUAUUUCGGUAUGUAAACUUCGAAAGAAUAGGAAGAAUAAAUGACGGUACUAUUUAUAAGCUCCGGCUAACUACGUGCCAGCAGCCGCGGUAAUCCGUAGGGAGCAAGCGUUGUUCGGAUUUCCUGGGCGUAAAGGGCGCGUAGGCGGCGCGGUAAGUCACUUGUGAAAUCUCUGAGCUUAACUCAGAACGGCCAAGUGAUACUGCAGUGCUAGAGUGCAGAAAGGGCAAUCGGAAGUCUUGGUGUACCGGUGAAAUGCGUAGAUAUCAAGAGGAACACCUGAGGCGAAGGCGGGUUGCUAGGCUGACACUGACGCUGAGGCGCGAAAGCCAGGGGAGCAAACG
rnacentral:rRNA from 1 species